rnacentral:rRNA from 1 species
AUUGAACGCUGGCGGCAGGCCUAACACAUGCAAGUCGAGCGAGCGGCGGACGGGUGAGUAACACGUGGGAACCUACCCAUCAGCGGGGGAUAACACUUGGAAACAGGUGCUAAUACCGCAUACUGAUGGAUGGACCCGCGGUGCAUUAGCUAGUAGGUGGGGUAAAGGCUAACCUAGGCGACGAUAUCUAGCUGGUCUGAGAGGAUGAGCAGCCACACGGGGACUGAGACACGGCCCAGACUCCUACGGGAGGCAGCAGUGGGGAAUAUUGCACAAUGGGCGCAAGCCUGAUGCAGCCAUGCCGCGUGUAUGAAGAAGGCCUUAGGGUUGUAAAGGACUUUCAGCGGGGAGGCGUUACCCGCAGAAGAAGCACCGGCUAACUCCGUGCCAGCAGCCGCGGUAAUUC